rnacentral:lncRNA from 1 species
CCAAGGCAAGAACAAAAGGGAAAAAGCAUAAAACAAACCCUAGAGAAGAAAAUCAAGAGAAAAUUCAUUGAAUUUCAAGGAAUUAAGCAAGUAAAGGUAAAAUUUCUUAAUUCUAGCUUGCGAUUUACCUUUCCUAUGCAUUCUUUUUCAAUUACCAUGGUUAAAAUUCAAGAUCUCAUGAAGGAUUCAUGGCUGACCGAAUUUAGGGAGAGAAGAUUUGAUGAUUUAUUUGGUUAGAUUUCAAGGUAUCUUAGUGUUUUUAGUUGUUUGGUGAUGUUUAGCAUGAAAAACAAGCAAGAAAUUUCAUGCCCUUCACCCACACUCCUUGGCUGAAAUUUUCAAGAGAGAAAUUGGAUAAUGGACUUUGAUAAAUUUCAUGCUAUUUAGGUGUUUUUAGUUGUUUUAUGAUGUAAGGUGUAAAAAUCAAGCAUGAAAAUUACAUGUUCUACACUAAACCUUCAAUGGCCGAAUUUUACAAGGAAGAUAUUGAUGAUGGAUUUUUGUGAUAUUACAUAUUAUUUAACUUGUAAUUGAUGACUUGGAGUGUUGGAAGUGGAAUCAAGUUAAUUGGAGUUGAAUUGGAUGUAUUGGCCAAUUAACCGGUGUAUAGAUCGAAUUAGGCCAAUACCAUUUUAUUUCGAUACAUAAUUGAAGCUACGUAGAACACCAUAUUUAGAUAAUAAUCCGAACAUUUCGCAUCCCAUUUCAACAUUCAUAUAGUGCCUAAAUUAGUUUUAUAACGAUUUAGUACAAAUAUAGUAAAUUGCUUGUUGUGCAUUAUGUUUAGGUGGUGAAACUUCCGAUAAGGGUAAGGAGAUUGUACCCGAAGACCAAGACUAGGAGUACUUCGACUCCGAUAUUGUGAGUAACCUUAUUAUCUCUUAAUUAUCUAAAGUAGUUUUUAUUCGUUUUUGUGAUUUUAUAGAAAAAUGAGUUUAAAUGGUAAAUCCUUAUGUUUUAUAAGUAAAAUGUGAUUAAAUAAAAUGAGUUUUAUAAAUCAUUUUGAAAUUGAAUGAUGAUUUUAGAAAUUGAGUAAUUGGAUACUGUUGAUUGUGUUAUAAAUUUAUGGUUUAAAUUGAAUGGCUUCUGGUGAUAUUGGCAUGAAUGGUUGAAUUGGAAAUUAUGUUGAAAUUGUAUGAAUUGUUUGUUUUGCCUUAACAGGCUGGAUAGUAUUAUAUUAGCCAUGUUAUGCUGCCAAAAUGUUAUUGAUUUGGUGGGUUAUGUAUUUAGCCUACUGCAGUGGACGGGUUUCCGUGGACCAGCCUAUUAGAGGGGCACGGUAAACCUCGUUAUAUUUAUCUUAGUACGAGAGGCGCGGAAGGUAUCUCCUGAGGUAAAGCUUUAGAGUUCACUACAAGCUAAACCACCACGUGAGGGUGAAGUCAGCCAACGCCAAGGAACGGCUAUGCUUUUAAACGUAAAAAUGUGUUUUAUGCGUAUAUGAACUUUUCUUUAACAACCUUGGUGGACUCGAUUGGAUGCCUCGGCCAAGGUAUCCCUGAGAAUGAGUUUUGGCAUGAGCCAAAUUUUUAAGAAAUUCAUAAGCCAUGUUGAUUAUUUGAGUGAAAUGAAAUUAUUUUAUUUAGUUGCAAUGAGUUUGAAACGUUAUGAAUAAUAGUAUGAUGAACUAUUUUAAGUUGUCUCCAUUUACUCGACUUUAGAUAUUUUAAAUGAUAUUUGUUUACUUACUGAGUUUAUAUGAACUCAUCACCCACCUUUCCCCUUAUUCCAGGAUCAGGACAGUUCGUAAAUAGCUAAUUACGUCAAGGGUUAUUAUUGGACUUGCCUCCUCAGAAAUUGUAGGUCCAUAGCCUUUGUUACCUUUGGUCAUUCGGGGGCCCACAUGUCAUUGUAAAUUAAAUUACAUACUCUGGUUAUCUGUGUUACUGUAUGUAUGAAUUUAUUUUGCUUUUACGCUAUAAAAAUUAUUUACGUAGAGUUCUAUAAAUAUUGUUUUAUAAGAAAAUAAAAUAUUUCAUUUAAUAUUUUUAUUUUAUUCUAUUACCUACAAUUUCACCCUAAAUGAAUGUUUAAGACAUAAAAACUAGUUUUUAAUUAUGAAAUGUGUAUUUUCCCCUAUAUAUUACAUUUUCAGCAGGUUUCAAAAUUUUUGAGUACAAAUGACCAAAAUAUCCCUGUGUGAUCGAAAUUAUUUUUUUGUUUUUGUUUGUUUUGAUUUAAAAGUAAUUUAUAUUCCCUUAAAACAUGAUAUUUAGUAACUAUUGCUCACAUGAGAGAUGUAAAACUGAUGCAAGAGCCUUGCGAGGUUUCGAUUGACAUUCCGGGUAAUAAAUGUCUAUCAAGACAUUGCAGCGGAUGUCACUGGCUCAAAGGGAAUACAGAGUCGUGACAUUUCUAUUGGUAUCAAAGCCAUUGGUUUUAAAGUUAUUUUAAAAAUUACAGUGUCAGUGUGGCCCUAGUUAAGUUAGGUUAGGUUGAGGUGAAUGCAUGCAUCAGCAUAUAGAACUUCAGGUUGUCUAAACUCACUUUGUUUCUUCUUAUAGAUCACCAUGCCUUGUCGACGUGGACGCCCACCUCUCUCUAGAUCAAUCGAAAGGGAAAGAGGUCGUUCUCAACAUCGUCAGCCAGAUCCUGUAGAGGGGGAAUUGGCUGCGUCUACUUUCGAGCAGCAGCUGUUGCUAAGCAGACUGAGACUCCUCCACAUCCUCCACCUCUUCCACCACCUACUGGUAUUCCUGCCAUGCCUCCUGAGGUAGUUCAGGCAUUGGUAGCUUUCCUCACGGCUACUACUGGCUAGGCUCAGGCUGAUCAAGCUUCUCCUACUGUUCCUCCGGCCGCUCCUUCGGUGCCACCACCACCACCUCCUGUUCCACCACAGGUACCUGAUGUAUCCAUUUCUAAGAAACUUAAGGAGGCUAGGCAGUUGGGUUGCAUUUCUUUUACGGGUGAUUUGGACGUAAUCGCAGCUAAAGACUGAAUCAUUCAAGUGUCAAACACACUUACGGAUAUGAAAUUGGAUGAUGACAUUGUCACGACCCAGUACUGCCCUCGAGCCCAUGAUAACCACCUCGGUGUCCCGAUCGACACUCAUUACCCGAAAUGUCAACCGAAACCCUACAAGGCUUUAAUAUCAGUUUCUCAUUUCUCCUGUAAGUAACCGUUGCCAAAUAUCAUGUUCUAAAAGAUUUUAAGCUAUUUCCAACUCAAAUCAAUAAAAAAAAAUGAUUGCUAUCUCACAAGGGUAUUUUGGUCAUUUUUCUUCAAAAAUCUCGAAACCAACUAAAAAUGUAGUAUGCAAGUGGAAAACACAUAUUUCAUAAUCAAAAAUAAGUUCAGAUAUCUAAAACAUUCAUUUAAAGGGAAACUAUAACUAUUUGAAUGUAAUAAAAAUAUUCAAUAAAAUAUUCUAUUUUCUUAUAAAACAAUAUUUAUAGAGUUACCGAUAAAUAAUUUUUGUAGCGUAAAAGCUAAAUAAAUUCAUACAUACUGUAAUACAAAUAAUCAGAGCAUAAGAUUUAAUUUACAGUGACACGUGGGCCCACGAACGACCAAAAGUUUCAAAAGCGAUAAACCUACAAUUUUUGAGGAUGUAAGUCCAACUGUAACCCUCAACAAAGUGAGCUAUCUACCGACUAUCCUGAGCCUGAAAUGGGUGAAAAUGAGGGUGGUGAGAUUAUAUAAUCCCAGCGAGUAAACAAAUACCAUCUAAAAUAUCUAAAGCUGAGUAAAUGGAGACAGAUAAAAUAGUUUAACAUAAAAAUUAUUCACAACAUUUCGAACUUAUUUUAAUAAGAUAAAAUAGAUUCAUUUCACCCAAAUAAACAACAAGGCUUAUGAUUUCUUGAAAAGUUUGGCUCAUGUCAAAAUCAUUCUCAUACUCAGUUAUUAGGGAUACCUUGAUCGAGGGCUAUCCCAACCGAGUCCGCCAAGGCUGUUAAAAAUCAUGUACGCAUAAAUCAUGUUUUUAUUUUGAAAACAUAGUCGUUCCUUGGAGUUGGCUGAGUUCACCCUCACGUGGUGGUUUGGCGUGAAGUGAACUCUAAAAUGUUAACCUCAUGAGUUAUCCAUCCACGCCUCUCAUACUAAGGUAUGAAUAUAAUAGAGUUACCGUGCCCCUCUAAUAGGCUGGUCCACGAAACCUGUCCACUGUAGUGACCAAUUAUAACCCACAAAUUCAAUAAAAUUCAACAGCAUGACAUGACAAUUAUUUCAUUUUAUAGCCUCUCAAGGCAAAUGAACAAUUCAUACUUUUUCAGCACAUUUACCAAAUCAACCAUUCAUGCCAAUAUUAUCAUAAGCCAUUCAGUUCAAACCAUGAUUUAUAACACAACAAUUAGUCUCCAAUUACUCUAUUUUCAAACCAUCAUUUCAUUUCAAGGCAAUGUUAUAAAAUCAUUUCAUUAAAUCACAUUUUAAUUACAAAACACAAAGAUUUACCAUUUAACUCAUUUUUCAUAAAAUCACCAAAUCGUAUAAAAACCACUUUAGAUAAUUAAGAUGAUAGUAAGGUUACUCACUAUUUCGGGAGUCGAAUUUCGAGUACUCUGAUUCUUGAUCCUUAGGUACUAUCUCUUUACUUUUGCCAGAAUGCUUACCACCUAAACAUAAUGCACAAUAAGCCAUUUACUACAUUUAUGCUAAAUUGUUAUAAAACCAAUUCAAGCCCUAUACUAAUGCAUGAAAUGGGAUGUAAAUUGUUCGAAUUAUCGUCUAAACACGGUGUUCUACACAAAUUCAAUUGUGUACCUAAAUAAAACGGUAUUGGCCUAAUUCGAUCUAUCACUCGAUUAAUUGGCCAAUAUGUCCAAUUCAACUCCAAAUAAUUGCAUUUUUCUCCCAAUACUCCAAAUCAUCAAACUUAAAUUAAAUAACUUGAAAUAUGGCAAAAUCAUCCUCACAUUUUCUCUUGGAAAAUUCAGCCAUGGUGGGUGCAUCAACACUAUAAUUUUUCAAGCUUGAUUCUCACACCAUAAAUCACUAAUUCCUAAUCAAAUCACUUGAAAUAAAAUCAAAAUCAUCAUCAAUAUUCUACAUGGAGAAUUUGGCCAAUGAUGGGUGAUGGAAGAACAUGAAUUUUUCUUGCUUGAUUUUCAUGCUACACAUCACUAACUAAAAACACUAAAAUAUCUUAAAAUCUAACCAAAUCAAGCAUCAAAACUCCUCCCCCCAUGUCCGGCCAGCAAGGGUAUCCUCAUGCAAACUUGAUUCUCAACCAUGGAAAAUGAAAAAGAAUGCAUAGGAAAGGUAGAUCACAAGCUAGAAUUGAAAAAUCUUACCUUUUGUCACUUGAUUCUUUGAAUUUUCACACUUUUCCCUUGAAUUUUUCCAUCUAGGGUUUUGUUCUUUCUUUUCUUCCUUUGUUCUUGCUUUGGCUGGCCAUAUGAAUGAGAAAUGGGCUGAUUUUGUGCUGAUUUUUAAGGAAAAUAAUAAAUGGAUGAAAAUUUGACACAUGUCACCAUUCCAUUGGUCCAUGUGUCAUACUUACCCAUUAAGCAAUCUCUCUCCACCACUUAAAUUUCCUCAAUUAUCCAUGAUAAUAUUGGGUAAAAUUCAUAUGCUAGACAAGUGUUGGGUGGUGUAAAAUUACAAUUUUGCCCUUGGGGUGGCAAAAUAACUAUUUUGCCCUUAUGCUCGAAAAAAAUGUCGAAAUUAAAAUUUUUCACUUCUCAAACUCAAAUUAUGUUCUAAAUAGUCAAUCUUGAUCAAAAACUUCUUCCAACAUUCCAAUUUUAACCUCGGGUGGCAAAAUGACCAUUUUGCCCCUAGGUCAUGAAAAUUCCAAUUUGACUCCAAAUCAGUCCUCAAACUUCAAAUCACUAUUUUAGUCAUUCUAGGGUUUUAAAAUUCUCAAUUUCAUCUUAAAAUCUCUAUUUGAACUAGUUCGAGGUUUAAAUCAACUUAGUUGUACCAUUUGGUACAUUGUUGUCUUUUAACGAUUUCUGAGGUACCCAAGUAAGCAAACAUACAUUCUUAUGUAGGAAUGGUAUAAUAAAUAUAUUGUAGAGCUGGGCUUGACAGACAUGCAAUUAAUGGUGGCCACAAGACUACUUGAAAAGAGGGCUCGUACUUGGUGGAAGUCGGUAAAAUCUCAUUCUACUACUCCUUUGACUUGGUCAGAUUUUUUUAGGGAGUUCAACGGCCAAUAUUACACUUAUUUUCAUCAAAAGGAAAAGAAGAGAGAGUUCUUAAGUUUGAAACAGGAAAAUUUGACAAUAGAGGAGUAUGAGGCUCGUUUUAACGAGCUAAUGUCUUAUGUGCCCGAUCUGGUAAAAAUUGAGUAGGAUCAGGCUAACUACUUCGAGGAAGGGCUCUAAAAUGAAAUUAGAGAGUGCAUGACAGUGAUAGGUAAAGAGCCAUAUAAAGAGGUUGUGCAGAUGGCUCUACGGGCUAAGAAGCUCGCGAUUGAGAAUAGGAGGAUUCGGGCCAAGUUUGCUAAGAGAAGGAAUCUAAAUACAUCAUUCAGUCAGCCACCUAAAAAGGGUAGGGAUUUGUCUACUUUAGGGAGUAUUACCUCUGCUUUCGUAGCAUUUUCUCGACCUCUUUUUUCAGAGCCAUAGUAGAGCCCUCCGAGAUUCAGCAUAUUUACGAUGACUAUUCCUGAGAAGAGUUUCGGAGGUUCUGAUAGAUGCAAAAAUUGUGAGAAAUAUCAUGUUGGGCUGUGUAGAGAGCCCGUACGAUGUUUUCAUUGUGGUCAGCUAGGUCAUAUUAGGAAUACUUGCCCACAGUUUGAACGAGCUACUGUAGCUGCUCUAUCUCCACCAACUCACACGGAUAUGCAGAGAAGAGAUUCUUCUGAGUUACCACCGAGAUAAGGAGUAGCCAUAGGGUCCGAUAUGGAGAGUAACGCCUCGACACAUCCACCCUCUAAACCACAGACUCAUUCUUUGAUAAGAGUUUUUGCUGUGACGGAGGAUGAGGCACGGGUCUGACCUAGAACAGUGACAGGUACUAUAUUUUUAUUUGAUAAAGAUGCAUAUGUCUUAAUAGAUUUUGGCUUGGACAGGUCUUAUGUGAGCAUGACAUUUGCAUCAUUUUCUGAUAGAAACCUGUCACCACUAGAGGAAAAAAUUGUAUUUCACACCUCUUUAGGAGAGAAGCUAGUUAGAAACAUUUGUUAUAGAGACUGUGGGGUAAUGGUUGGUGAGGAAGAAUUUAAGGGUGACUUAAUUCCUCUAGAGAUCCGGGAUUUCAAUUUAAUAUUGGAUAUGGACUGGUUAACUGCACAUUGGGCGAAUGUGGAUUAUUUUCGAAAAGAAGUUGUACUUUAAAAUUCUGAAGGAGCAGAGAUUGAAUUUGCAAGGGAACAUCGAGUAUUAUCGUCCUGUGUAAUCUCGACCAUUAAAGCUCUGAAACUAGUACAGAAAGGGUAUCUAGCAUAUUUAGCACACUUGAUCAAUACUUCAAAAGGGGAUCCUAAGUUAGAGGAUGUCCCAAUAGUAAGUGAGUUUUCUGAUGUAUUUUUUGAUGAGUUAUCGGGACUACCUCUUGAUAGAGAGCUCGAGUUCCCUAUUGAUCUACUCCCGGGUACUGCACCUAUUUUCAUUCCUUCGUAUCGAAUGGCUCCAGUGGAGUUGAAGGAACUGAAAGUCUAGUUGCAAGAUUUGGUAGAUAAGGGUUUUAUUCGCCCUAGCACUUCUCCUUGGAGAGCACCAGUCCUAUUUGUAAAGAAGAAGGAUGGCAUUUUUCGGUUAUGUAUCGAUUACCGUCGCUGAACCGAGUGACCAUCAAGAAUAAAUACCCUCUACCACGGAUUAAGACUGCUUUCAGGAUGCGUUAUGGGCAUUAUGAGUUUCUGGUUAUGCCGUUUGGUCUAACUAAUACCCUGGUAGCUUUUAUGGAUCUUAUGAACAGGGUGUUCCAUCCAUACUUAGAUAAGUUCAUGAUAGUAUUCAUAGAUGACAUUCUGGUCUAUUCGAAGAAUGAUGACAAACAUGUUGCCCAUUUGAUCAUUGUGCUGCAAACUUUGUGAGAAAAACAACUCUAUGCCAAGUUUUCUAAAUGUGAGUUCUAGUUAAAAGAAGUGGUUUUCUUGGGACAGGUGGUGUCUAGAGCUAUAAUUUAUGUCGAUCCCAAGAAGAUUGAGGCAAUUUUAUAGUGGGAGAAACCAAAAAUGGUAAUAGAGAUUCGGAGUUUUCUUGGCUUAGUCGGUUAUUAUAAGAGGUUGUUCAGGGAUUCUCAUUGAUAGCUGCUCUUCUGACUCAUCUGACUCGUAAAGAAGUUAAGUUCGAGUGAGAUGAGGUAUGUGAGAGUCGAUUUCAAGAGCUGAAGAAUCGGUUAACCUUCGCUCCCGUUUUGACACUUCCUAUUAAUAGGAAAGAAUUUGUGGUGUAUAGUGAUGCCUCUAAAUUGGGAUUAGGGUGCGUGUUAAUGCAAGAUGAGAAAGUGAUAGCUUAUGCUUCCCGACAGUUGAAGAAGCAUGAGACGAAUUACCUUACCCAUGAUUUAGAGUUAGCAGUAGUAGUCUUUGCAUUGAAAAUUUGGAGGCAUUACUUAUAUGGUGAGCGUUGUCAAAUUUUUACCGACUAUAAGAGUUUUAAAUACUUGCUCACUUAGAAAGAGCUUAACUCGAGACAGAGACGAUGGUUAUAGUUGAUUAAGGAUUACGACUUAGUGAUUGAUUAUCACCUUGGGAAGGCAAAUGUUGUAGCAGAUGCUUUAAGUCGUAAAUCCUCAUCUUCAUUAGCAACACUUCGGAGUUCUUAUUUUCUGAUAUUACUUGAGAUGAAAUCUCUAGGGAUCCAAUUGAGAAAUGGUAAGGAUGGAACCCUACUUGCUAGCUUUGUUAUGAGACCUUCAUUAUUGAAUCAAAUCUAAAAAUUACAACAGUUUGAUGAUGAGUUGAAACGGAAAGUUUAAAAGUUAUGAGAUGGAGAGACUAAUGAGUUCAGACUUGGUGAUGAUGGUAUCUUAAUGCUUAGGAAUCGGGUUUGUGUCCUUAAGGAUGAUCAGUAGAGACAAGCUAUUUUGGAGGAAGCUCAUUCUUUCGCCUAUGCUUUACAUCCCGAAAGCACCAAAAUGUACAAGACUAUCAAGGAAAGUUAUUGGUGGCCGGGUAUGAAACGAGUCAUAGCAGAGUUUGUAGCGAAAUGUCUCACAUGCCAACAGAUCAAGGUAAAACAUCAAAAACCAUCGGGUACUUUUCAGCCUCUACCUAUCCCUGAAUGAAAGUGGGAGCACGUGACUAUGGACUUUGUACUGGGUUUACUAUGGACACAGAGUGGGAAGGAUGCUAUUUGGGUGAUUUUUGAUAGAUUGACUAAGUCCACCCAUUUCUUGGCUAUCCAUAGCACGUAUUCCAUUGAGAAACUGGCUAGACUUUAUAUAGAUGAGAUAGUGAGAUUACAUGGAGUCCCAAUUUCCAUCGUGUCAGAUCGAGACCCCCGGUUCAUUUCUCGAUUCUAGCUGAAAUUCCAGGAUGCUCUCGGAACUAAUUUGAGAUUUAGCACUGCCUUUCAUCCAUAGAUAGAUGGUCAGUCGAAAAGGACCAUUCAGACCCUAGAGGAUAUGCUAUGGGCUUGUGUCAUUGACUUUACAAGGAGUUGGGAUAAACACUUGUCGUUGGUGGAGUUCACAUAUAACAAUAGUUUUCAGUCUAGUAUUCAGAUGGCACCAUACGAGGCUCUGUAUGGGAGAAAGUGUCGAACUCCACUCUAUUGGGAUGAAGUGGGUGAGAGAAAAUUGUUUAAUGUAGAAUUGAUUGACUUGACUAAUGACAAGAUCAAGGUUAUCCGAGAGCGAUUAAAGAUAGCUCAAGAUAGGCAGAAAAGUUACUCUGAUAGACGAAGAAAAGAUCUAGAAUUUGAAAUUGAUGAUAGAGUUUUUCUUAAGGUCUCUCUUUGGAAAGGUAAUAAUUUGAAUACUUUGAGAUAUUAAGUUUUAUUUGAUUUUACUAUUGUGGUAAAUUGUGGUAUCUUGUUGGAUAAUGAAAGGUGUGAUCCGAUUCGCAAGAGAGAAAAGCUCAAUCCGAGAUACAUUGGACCGUUUUGUAUUAUUGAAAAGAUUGGGCUAGUGGCAUAUAAACCAGAGUUACCCCCAGAGUUGGAUCGGAUUCACAAUGUCUUUCAAGUCUCAAUGUUGAAGAAGUAUGUACCAGAUCCCUCCCACAUCCUUGAGACGCCUCCGAUUGGGUUUCACGAAGAUUUAAAGUUCAAGGUGCAGCUUGUACGUAUUCUAGAUCGGAAGGAUCGAGUAUUGAGGAACAAGAGCAUUCCAAUGUUUAAAGUGUUGUGGAAUAAUGCUCGGAUGAAGGAGAUAACAUGGGAAGUCGAGCAUCAAAUGAGAAGACAAUACCCCCAUCUUUUCUCCGAGUCCUGUAAGUGAAAUUUUGAGGUCAAAAUUUUAUUUUAAGGGGGGUAGUGCUGUCAAGUCCAACCUUAUAAUAUACUUGCCAUGUCAUUCAUGUAUUUGACAACAUGCUUGCAUACUUGAAUACCUCGAAAAAUUGUUAAAAGUCAGUAGUCUACCUAGUGGUACAACUAAGUUGAUUUAAGCCUCGAACUAGUUCAAAUAAAGAUUUUAAGAUGCAAUUGAGAGUUAUUGAACCUUAGAAUGACUUAAUAUGGUGAUUCAGAGUUCGAGGAUUGAUUUGGAGUUAAAUUGGAAUUUUCAUAACGUAGGGGUAAAAUGGUCAAUUUUCCACUCGAGGGCAAAUUUAGGAUGGUGGAUGAAAUUUUGAUCAAGUUUGACUAUUUGGAACAUAAUUUGAGCUUGAGAAGUGAAAACUUUUAAUUCUGAUAAUUUUUUGAACAUUAGAGCAAAAAGGUCAUUUCACGUGUCCACAAGGACGUAAUUAGAAUAUUUGGAAUUUUACACCACCUUGACACUUGUCAAACCCAUGAAAUUCAUUUUAUACUUUGGAUAAUUGAGGGAUUUUAUGUGGUGGAGAAGAAAUGCUUAAUUAUUAAGUUUUAUGUAUGGACCAAUCACAUGGUGACAAGUGUCAAGCUUUAAUAUUGUUAUAUUUUCCUUUAUAAACACAACUAAAACUCUCCCAUCUCAUUUCUCUUGGCCGGCCAAGGCAAGAACAAAAGGGAAAAAGCAUAGAACAAACCCUAGAGAAGAAAAUCAAGAGAAAAUUCAUUGGAUUUCAAGGAAUUAAGAAAGUAAAGGUAAAAUUUCUUAAUUCUAGCUUGUGAUCUACCUUUCCUAUGCAUUCUUUUUCAAUUACCAUGGUUAAAAUUCAAGAUCUCAUGAAGGAUUCAUGGCUGACCGAAUUUAGGGAGAGAAGAUUUGAUGAUUUAUUUGGUUAGAUUUCAAGGUAUCUUAGUGUUUUUAGUUGUUUGGUGAUGUUUAGCAUGAAAAACAAGCAAGAAAUUUCAUGCCCUUCACCCACACUCCUUGGCUGAAAUUUUCAAGAGAGAAAUUGGAUAAUGGACUUUGAUGAAUUUCAUGCUAUUUAGGUGUUUUUAGUUGUUUUAUGAUGUAAGGUGUAAAAAUCAAGCAUGAAAAUUACAUGUUCUACACUAAACCUUCAAUGGCCGAAUUUUACAAGGAAGAUAUUGAUGAUGGAUUUUUGUGAUAUUACAUAUUAUUUAACUUGUAAUUGAUGACUUGGAGUGUUGGAAGUGGAAUCAAGUUAAUUGGAGUUGAAUUGGAUGUAUUGGCCAAUUAACCAGUGUAUAGAUCGAAUUAGGCCAAUACCAUUUUAUUUCGAUACAUAAUUGAAGCUACGUAGAACACCAUAUUUAGAUAAUAAUCCGAACAUUUCGCAUCCCAUUUCAUGCAUUCAUAUAGAGCCUAAAUUAGUUUUAUAACGGUUUAGUACAAAUAUAGUAAAUUGCUUGUUGUGCAUUAUGUUUAGGUGGUGAAACUUCCGAUAAGGGUAAGGAGAUUGUACCCGAAGACCGAGACUAGGAGUACUUCGACUCCCGAUAUUGUGAGUAACCUUAUUAUCAUCUUAAUUAUCUAAAGUAGUUUUUAUUCGUUUUUGUGAUUUUAUAGAAAAAUGAGUUUAAAUGGUAAAUCCUUAUGUUUUAUAAGUAAAAUGUGAUUAAAUGAAAUGAGUUUUAUAAAUCAUUUUGAAAUUGAAUGAUGAUUUUAGAAAUUGAGUAAUUAAAGACUGUUUGAUUGUGUUGUAAAUUUAUGAUUUGAAUUGAAUGGCUUAUGGUGAUAUUGGCAUGAAUGGCUGAAUUGGAAAUUGUGUUGAAAUUGUAUGAAUUGUUUGUUUUGCCUUAAUAGGCUGGAUAGUAUUAUAUUAGCCAAGUUAUGCUGCCGAAAUGUUAUUGAUUUGGUGGGUUAUGUAUUUAGCCUACUACAAUGGGCGGGUUUUCGUGGAUCAGCCUAUUAGAGGGGCACGGUAAACCCCGUUAUAUUUACCUUCGUACGAGAGGCGCGAAGGGUAUCUCCUGAGGUAAAGCUUUAGAGUUCACUACACGCUAAACCACCACGUGAGGGUGAACUCAGCCAACGCCAAGGAACGACUAUGCUUUUAAACGUAAAAAUGUGUUUUAUACGUAUAUGAACUUUUCUUUAACAGCCUUGGUGGACUCGGUUUGUCAAACCCGAUUCUACAAUAUGUUUAUUAUGUCAUUCUUACAUAAGAAUGUAUGUUUGCUUACUUGGGUACCUUAGAAAUCGUUAAAGGAUGGUAUUGUACCAAAUGGUACAAUUAAGUUGAAUUAAGCCUUGAACUAGUCCAAAUAGAGAUUUUAAGAUGAAAUUGAGAAUUUUAAAACUCCAAAAUGACUUAAAAUGUUGAUUCAGAGUUGGAGGACCGAUUUGGAGUCAAAUUGGAAUUUUCGUGACCUAGGGGUAAAAUGGUGAUUUUGCCACUCGAGGUUAAAAUUGGAAUGUUGGAAGAAGUUUUUGAUGAAGAUUGACUAUUUAGAACAUAAUUUGAGUUUGAGAAGUGAAAAAUUUUAAUUCCGGCAUUUUUUCGAGCAUAAAGGCAAAAUAGUCAUUUUGCCAUCCUAGGGGCAAAAUUGUAAUUUUACACCACCCAACACUUGUCCAGGACAUGGAUUUUACCCAAUAUUAUCAUGGAUAAUUGAGAAAAUUUAAGUGGUGGAGAAAGUUUCUUAAUGGGUAAGUAUGACACAUUGACCAAUGGAAUGGUGACAUGUGUCAUAUUUUCAUCCAUUUAUUAUUUUCCUUAUAAAUCAGCACAAAAUCAGCCCAUUUCUCAUUCUUAUGGCCGGCCAAAGCAAGAACAAAAGAAGAAAAGGAAGAACAAAGCCCUAGGUGGAAAAUUCAAGGGAAAAGUGUGAAAAUUCAAAGAAUCAAGCGACAAAAGGUGAGAUUUUUCAAUUCUAGCUUGUGAUCUACCUUUCCUAUGCAUUCUUUUUCAUUUUCCAUGGUUGAGAAUCAAGUUUGCAUGAGGAUACCCUUGCUAGCCGGACAUGGGUGGAGGAGUUUUGAUGCUUGAUUUGGUUAGAUUUUAAGAUAUUUUAGUGUUUUUAGUUAGUUAGUGAUGUGUAGCAUGAAAAUCAAGCAAGAAAAAUUCAUGUUCUUCCAUCAGCCAUCAUUGGCCGAAUUCUCCAUGUGGAAUAUUGAUGAUGAUUUUGAUUUUAUUUCAAGUGAUUUGGUUAGGAAUUAGUGAUUUAUGGUGUGAGAAUCAAGUUUGAAAAAUUAUAGUGUUGAUGCACCCACCAUGGCUGAAUUUUUCAAGAGAAAAUGUGAGGAUGAUUUUCCCAUAUUUCAAGUUAUUUAAUUUGUGUUUCAUGAUUUGGAGUAUUGGGAGAAAAAUGGAAUUGUUUGGAGUUGAAUUGGACAUAUUGGCCAAUUAAUCGAGUGAUAGAUCGAAUUAGGCCAAUACUGUUUUAUUUAGGUAUACAAUUGAAUUUGUGUAGAACACCAUGUUUAGACGAUAAUCCGAACAAUUUACAUUCCAUUUCAUGCAUUAGUAUAGAGCCUGAGUUGGUUUUAUAACAAUUUAGCACAAAUGUAGUAAAUGGCUUAUUGUGCAUUAUGUCUAGGUGGUGAGCAUUCUGGUAAAAGUAAAGAGAUAGUACCUCGAGGAUCAAGAAUCGGAGUACUCAAAACUCGAUUUCCAUUACAGUGAGUAACCUUACUAUCUUCUUAAUUAUCUAAAGUGAUUUUUAUCCGAUUUUGUGAUUUUAUGGAAAAUAAGUUUAAAUGGUAAAUCUUUAUGUUUUAUAAGCAAAAUGUGAUUAAAUGAAAUGAUUUUGUAAAAUUGUCUUGAAAUUGAAAGAUGGUUUUGAAAAUGGAGUAAUUGGAGACUAAUUGUUGUGUUAUAAAUCAUGGUUUGAACUGAAUGGCUUAUGAUAAUAUUGGCAUGAAUGGUUGAAUUGGUAAAUGUGCUGAAAAUGUAUGAACUAUGUAUUUAGCCUUUAGAGGCUGGAUUGUGAUAUAAUUGCCAUGUCAUGCUGUUAAAUUUUAUUGUAUGGUGGGUUAUAAUUAGUCGCUGCAGUGGAUGGGUUCUGUGGACCAGCCUAUUAGAGGGACACGGUAACCCUAUUAUAUUCAUACCUCAGUAUGAGAGGCGCGGUUGGAUAAAUCCUGAGGUUAAAACUUUAGAGUUCAUUUCACGCCAAACCACCACUUGAGGGUGAACUCAGCCAACGCUAAGAAACGGCUAUGUUUUCAAAAUAAAAACAUGAUUUAUGCGUACAAAAACUUUUUAACAACCUUGGCGGACUCGGUUGGGAUAGCCCCAGGUCAAGGUAUCCUUGAUAACUGAGUAUGAGAAUGAUUUUGGCACGAGCCAAAAUUUUUGAAAAUCAUAAGCCUCGUUGUUUAUUUUGGUGAAAUGAAUCUAUUUUAUCUUAUUAAAAUGAGUUCGAAAUAUUGAGAAUCAUUUUUAUGCUAAUCUAUUUUAUCUGUCUCCAUUUACUCAACUUUAGAUAUUUUAGAUGAUAUUUGUUUAUUCUUCUGGAAUUAUAUAAUCUCACCACCCUUCUUUCCACCCAUUUUAGGCUCAGGAUAGUCGGUAGAUAGCUCACUUUGUUGAGGUCUACAGUUGGACUUGCAUCCUCAAAAACUGUAGGUUUACUGCUUUUGAUACUUUUAGUCGUUCGUGGGCCCACGUGUCACUGUAAAUUAAAUUUUAUAGUUUGGUUAUCUGUAUUACAGUAUGUAUGAAUUUAUUUAGUUUUUACGCUACAAAAAUUAUUUACAGGUAACUCUAUAAAUAUUGUUUUAUAAGAAAAUAGAAUAUUUUAU